GACGAACCGUGCAAACGUUGUUCGGAAUCACUGGGCUUAAAGGGCGCGUAGGCGGCUUAUCAAGUCGGGGGUGAAAUACUUCAGCUUAACUGGAGAAGUCGCUUCGAUACUGGUGGGCUUGAGGGAGGUAGGGGUCUGUGGAACUUCUGGUGGAGCGGUGAAAUGCGUUGAUAUCAGAAGGAACGCCGGUGGCGAAAGCGACGGACUGGACCUCUUCUGACGCUGAGGCGCGAAAGCUAGGGGAGCAAACGGG
rnacentral:rRNA from 1 species